GACGAACGCUGGCGGCGUGCUUAACACAUGCAAGUCGAACGGAAACGCCCUGCUUGUGUGCGGUGCUCGAGUGGCAAACGCGUGAGUAACACGUGAGUAUCCUGCCCCUGCCUUUGAGAUAACUUCAGGACGCUGAAGCUCAUACCAGUUAGUAGCUCCUGCUGCAUGGUGGGGGUUGGAAAGAUUCGGCGGUUGGGGAUGGACUCGCGGGUUAUCAGCUUGUUGGUUGGGUAGUGGCUUACCAAGGCUUUGACGGGUAGCCGGCCUGAGAGUGUGACCGGCCACAGGGGGACUGAGAUACGGCCCAGAGUCGUACGGGAGGCAGCAGUGGGGAAUGUUGCACGAUGCGGGCAAGUCUGAUGCAGCAACGCCGCGUUCGGGAUGAUGGCCUUCUGGUUGUAAACCGCUUUCGCCUGUGACGAAGCGUGAGUGACGGUAAUGGGUGAAGAAGCACCGGCUAACUACGUG
rnacentral:rRNA from 1 species